GCCAACGUGACAUAUUGGUUUGAGCGCUGGACUACGACUCUGGAGACUAAGGUUCGAAUCCUGAUUUAGCCA